rnacentral:lncRNA from 1 species
UAUUUUAUAAAAAAAUAAGAAUCAUACUUUGUUUACUCCCUUAUUCUAUCUUCGUAUUCCCUCUCCCAAGUUCACAAGGUUGAUAAUUGAUAUAUUCUAAGGGUAGCUAAUCCUUAAAAUAGUUAAAACAAGAAUAAACAAACAACCAAUAACGAUAAUCAAAUCAAACGAAAUCAAUUCAAAACAAUAGUACUCAUAUUCUUGGCUUUAACCCCAGAAAAAGGGUGUUUAGCCACACGUAGUCAUACUCAUAAUCACAAGGUUGUAAUACGUCCCAAGAUCUGAAAAAAAUGUGCACAAUAUUGUAUAUAUAACACAAAGUCAGUCCAAGCCGUGUAGGAGUCGAAUUCCAUCAAUUUGUGAGCAAGGGAGUAGAGGGGGCGCCGCCCUGAGUUGAGCCCCGCUCUAGGUGAGGUUGUGCCCUGGGUAAAGCGCCACUCUAGGUGAGGCUGCACCAUAUCUAUAUCUCAGCUCCAAGUGGGGUUCCGCGGGCUAAUCGCCUUGACCUUCUGGAAGUUGCUUCCACGGAUUUGAUUAAGUGUUGGUCCUCCAAUCUUUCAUCCCUUAACUUGUGGUGUAUUUUUCAUGGAUUUUCAGCCUUUUAAACAUCAAAAUAUCAUCAUAUUCAGCUCACAAAGCUUCCUACAUAAUCACAUCACAUGAAUUAGAGAUCAUAAAAAUACAAUAUUCAUGAUGAUGAAUCAAAAAUACAAGCUAAGACUAGGCUAAUUUGCAUUGAUCUUUAACUUUUUGUUCCGAAUCUUAACUUAAUCAAAUUGAACCUUGCACAUUACCAACAAGUUAUUCCACUCAUAAUUAUACAUUUAAAACCAUUUGGAACACAUUAAAUACAAUAGAAUUCAAUGGGAUCAACUAGACAAGAACCUAGCUCAAGCUAGUAACGCUAGUUUCCACUAUUGAACUCUAAAUGACUCAUUGAAGUAUAAACUUGUUUGAAAUUCACUUUGAACAUUGUAAACACAUGCUUUAACACUUAGAUUCACAUUUAUCUCAUUGUCAAACCAUAUAGCAUAUGAAUCAUCCUCAAAACAAGGCUAAAAAGACUAGAAUAGUAAGACUAAAAUGCAUAAAUACAUCCAACAUCACACCUCCCUAAUCUUUAGGAUGGUACCCAGACUGAAGAUCUAUCUUAGAAAAGAACUUGACACCUUGCAAUUGAUCAAAUAGAUCAUCUAUCCUUGAAAGAGAAUACUUGUUCUUGACCAUCACCUUAAUCAAAUGCCUAUAGUCAAUGAACAUCCAAAGGGAACCAUCUUUCUUGCGCACAAACAACACUGGUGUACCCCAAGGAGAUACACUAGGAUGAAUAAACCCCUUAUCCAGAAGAUCCUUAAGUUGCUCCUUGAGUUCCCUCAACUCCGCCGGAGCCAUUCUAUAUGGAGGAAUAGAAAUUGGACGAGUGUCCGUAAUUAGAUUAAUACCAAACUCUAUUUCCCUAUCCAGAAGAACACUAGGAAGAUAAUCCAGAAAGACCUCUGAAAACUCAUUAAUCAGUGGAACUGACUUAAAAGAAGGACCUUUAGAGUUAGAAUCUUUAACCCAGAAUAAGUGAUAAAGAUACCUUUUAGAGAUUAACCUCCGAGCUCUAAGAUAAGAAAUAAACCUCCCCUAGGGGCUAAAGAAACACCCUCCCAUUCUAUAACCUGCUCACCAAGGAACCUAAAGACAACCCUACGGGUUCGACAAUCCAAAGACGCGUAACAAGAGUGUAGCCAGUCCAUAUCCAAAAUAAUAUCAAAAUUCACCAUAUCCAACUUAAAUAGAUCCACCAAGGUCUACUUGCCACAAACAGAUACCACACCCCCUAUAGACUCUCCUAGCAAUAACUGAGUCACCUACUAGGAUAGAAAUAGAAAAAGGAUCCAAAAUAACUUCCUGAUCAAAACCAAAAUAUACAAACACAUAAGGAGUCAUAUAAGAGAGAGUAGACCCCGGAUUAAGAAAAUAAUAUACGUCACGUGAGAAAAUUUGUAACAUACCACUAGCUACAUCAGGUGAUGCCUCAGAUUCCUGUCGGGACGCCAAAGCAUACAACCUGUUUCGGACAACACUAAAACCAAGAGUAGUAACAGAAACAGAUGCAACACCACCAGGUAUAGGAGCAAAAGAUGAAGCCACAGGAAUCUCAUUCAUCCCUGUAGCAACCUUAUUAAUUGGAUAAUCCCUGAGCCGAUUUCCUGUCUGGCCAUACUUAAAGCAUUUGUCCUUUCCUUUAUCACAAUAACCUCGAUAAGGACGACCACAAAACCAACAAGAAGGGUAUAAAGAAACUGACUGACCUUCGCUUCCUGAGGUUGGACAACCUGCGCCCGAAAAUUAUCACCACUAUGAUGACGUCUGUCGCCCGACUAGUAAGGUGCACUAACAGUAGAGUAGGAACCAGAAUUCCUUUACUUUUUUUUGCUAUUUGCCACCAUUUCGACCACCCUGUGAUUAGAAAAUCUGCUCCUCUUACCCUGCCUAUCCCCAAACUCUACCUGCUUCCUCUUUUCAUCAUCUACUUGCUGUAUAUGAACAAUCAUCCUAGAGAUGUCUGUAUCCUUAAUUAGUAAGGCAGUCUUACUCUCCAAAAUCAGAUCCUGAUUCAACCCAGAAGUGAACUUCCUCAUUGUAUCCCAUAUAUCAGCCACCAAAUAAGGAGCAUAACUUUACAAUUGGUGAAAGUUCAAGGCAUAUUCCUUGAUAGAAAUUCUCCCCUACUUGAGGUUCACAAACCCCUCCAUCUUUGCUUCCCUCAACUCUUGGGGAAAGAAGCGAUCAAGAAAAAUACCAAAGAAGGUAUCCCACAAGGAUGACUCCUCCACAUCUUCUCUAUCCCUAUCCCACUCUUCAUACCACUAUAUGCAACAUCUUUAAGCUGAUAAGCUAUAAAGUGUACCCCCUCCACAUUGGUAGCCUGCAUCACCCAAAAUAUCUUCUCCAUCUCAUCCAAGAAGCCCUGUGGAUUCUCCUCCACCUUUACUCUGAAAAAAGUGAGAGGGCCCAUCUUCAUAAAUUGUCCAACCCUUGUGACACAACAGACAAAAAAACAGACAUAUCUCGCUCAGCCUGAGCAACAACCAGUUUUGCAAUAGUGUAAACAGACUGGUGGAAUUCUGCAUUAGUCACCUCGCCUGGAGAAAAGCUAGUAGCAACUGGUGAAACUCCAAAACUAUUAGGGAUAAGAUAGUGCGAUCGAAGAUGAACCCCAGAAGUAGGAUGUAUUGUAUUUCAGAUCUAUGAGGUAUGAUCUGAAAGACGAACAAACAAGAAUUAGAGAAGAUUCCAAGGCUGAGAUUCCAAGCUUAAAAAUAGAAUACCAAGAAAGAGAAACAUUCCUAAAUGCCUUGUAGCCUCUCCCUCAUGUGUGUGGUGUGCUACACACCCCUAAAAGAAACUCUACUUAACACGGCUUUGUGGACUCCCAAUUGUCCAUGAACCUAGGCUCUGAUACAAACUUAACAUGAACCACCCUAGGGCCUUGUUAUAAUGGGCAUCCCAAGUUCGAGCAUGUAACAAAAUAGUGUAACAAUCAACAUAAAGACUCUGGAAAUAGAUCACAACCGUGACCAACCUAACUGAGUCUAAUCAUUCCAUAACCAAAAAUCCAACCAUGACAAACCAUACCAAACAAGGGCCAUAAACCAGGCCAUAACCAAAGACGUUCUCAAACAUAAUAUAAUUAAUCCCAAAAUGAAAUUAAACGGAACAGUGAGAAAUUAGGUCCGAUGAUGCCAGCCUCCCAGCCUAUUCCAAUGUCAAGGGUGACACCUAUACCAAUCCCGCUCAUUCCAACCCAUUGAAGUACCAUAAAGUAUCUAACCAAAAGAGUAAUAAAAUCUAGUUGGGACAUACCCUCCACCAUAGCCAAAACUAAUAUCCAAAAUAAAACCAAAAUAUCUAGAAAUAUCCAUAGCAUGAAAUGGAGCCUUUCGAAAGGAUGGAAGCUCAUCACUUCAGUCCAAAUGCUGUUCCCGAGUCAAUUACUAUGUAGGAGGAGUAGAACGACCGAUUCCUGCAUAGCGUGAGUAUACAGCCGCCAAUAGACGGGGUUAGUGAGUGACAGCUAGCAUGAUCUCAGGGUUAGGAUAAAAUAAUGUCAUUUAUAAAAUCAAGUAAAACUAUACAUAUGCACACAAACAAACAUAUAUAUAUAUAUAUAUAUAUAUAUAACCAUGUCGGGAAAAGGAAACAGGUUUGGACUUCUUGAAAUUUUCGAACACCUUUUGAAUGAAGAUCCUCUCUAGAUUACAAUAAAUAAACUACGAAAUAAAAUUCUCAAACCUAAGGGACAAUGGUUCAUACAAUCCGACAUUACAUCCUUCAAUUAAAUACACAAGAGACGAUCGUGUGUGAUUGGCUCGUAGUCAAUACAAGCAAGGUUGGUUUUCUAUUGGAUCCAAUACCCCCUUAGGUAUUGAGUCUUCCUAGGCACAUGCCUAAAAAGGAUUUUGAUUUCGCUCUAUCCUAGGUAUCUAGAGGGGGCUUUAACCAGGUUUCAAAUGCACAACUCGAGUUUGAAAAUACAAACAGUCAUUAAACGCCCAAUGUACCAACAAACUACUGUAUUUUUAAUACUUUAUUUGAAGUUGAUAAAUAGGGGCCACGACAAUCGCAAAUCCCCAAAUAAUUUAAAUAUUCAAGGAGAAAGUAUGCCAUGAAAUACAACAAUUUCAAUUUUACGUAAAUUUAAACACAUAAGCAAACAAACAAUAUCAGUAUUACAAACCUGAAUAGUCAGUCAAAAAAAAAUAGUUAUUUCAAAUAUUUGGUUAGAACCUUACUAAAUUCCCCAACAGAGUUGUCAUUUCUGUUUUUAUCUAUUUUUGGUUUUUAUUUAAGAGAAAAUGAUUUUGACCUUUUCCAAACUAUGUAAAAAAAUCAAGACUAUUUCGAAAUAAUUUUAACAAAAUUACAGAGUAGACACUUGAUUUUUAUUGAGAAUAUCAAGAAAACUUUAAAAAGUUUCAAAGAUUUAAAAUAAAAAUAAAUAUUGAAAUAAGAGAAACUAAGUAAUGAUUCAGUUAACACACUAAGAAGGUUUUGAAGGAACUUAGGACGUUCGUUUGAAAAAACGAUUUACGAAAUAAUUUUUGACUAACUUAAAAAUGACUAAUUUUGUAAACACUCGAUUCUAUAUAAGAUAUCAAAAUUAUUAACCUAAAAUGACACUUGUUCAUCCAAAUGAAAAUAUUCCUUUGAAUUAAAGAAUGAUCCGAUUAAAUUAAAUUGCAUAUUUUUAAAUUUAAGAGGAAAAUAAAUUUGUACUUUUAUGGGAAGAGUGGAUUAUGUAAUUAUUUUUUUGUUAUCAUUGUUGUUAUUAUUAUUUUUUAUGAAAGUCAAUUUUGGUCUAAUAUCUUUAGAAAAUGAUGUCAAGAGUGUAUCAAACUACGAGUGAUUAAUUAAUUAUGAAAGUUAGAAUUUUCAAGAAAAAUUAGUUUCUUAGGUUUGAAGAAAAUUGCCUUAAUCCAAAUAGACUAUUAGUCCUAUGAAUAAAAUAAAUGUCAUGUUGGUAUGAAACACUAAAUUUUAGAAGAUUUGUUUGUUAGGGAGAAUAACUGAAGCAACAAAUGUGAUUCAUUUUAGAUGACACAAACCAAGUGAGAAGAAAUACGAAUUUAGUAAGAAAAUCAAGAUAAAAUAGAAUGGAAAUGCCUUAGAAGAUUUAUCUAGAUUAAUCAUUUAAUACAAAUAGUUAAGAUAAAUUACAAAAAUAAAGAAGGGUUGAGAAAUUUGGCUUUCAGGCCCAUUUUUUUUUAUGGAAAAAGGACAAAAAUAACACCUGAAACUAAAAUAAUUUCACGAAAAUAGCACCUAAAACUAAGAGCUCGGUAAAUAGUCACUCCCAUAUGCUUAACUACAUAUAACCAGAAAUGCGCCCAAAUCAAUAUAUAACUUUACCUUUCUUUCUUUCCUUUUCAUGCCCAAUUUCCUUUUAAUUCAAACUCCUAAUUCUCCGUUUCAUUACCUUUUCUAAUACUCAUCUUUACCCUUUUCAUUCCACAAACUUUUGUAUAAAUCUCUUAGAAUUUGCAUUCAAUUAGUUUCAUAUAGUUUUUCACCUAUAAAUGAUAAAUCAUCCUCAAUAAAUUCAUAAAUAGAUAAAGGAUCGUCUUUCACCACUUUCGUGCUUGUUUUUUCAUUUGAUGGACCCGAUUUUUUUCACUAUUUUCAACAAAAAUCUCAAUAUCAAAUAGAGAAUUUUGAAGCAAGGUAAGGAUUUUUAGGUAGGUUAUACGGUAGAAAAGUGUAACAAAAGAAGAUUUGUUGAUAUCAAACUACGGAGUAAAAAUAUACUCCCCGUGUGUAUCUUUUUUUUUAAUUGUUAUUUGUCUUAGCUGGGCAGUUAAUAGAAAAUAGCUAUUUAUGCUUGCACAUACUGUAUCAAUGUGGUAUAAAAGUGUAUCGAUCUAGUAUAAAAGAGUAUCAAUUGGAUAUAUGUUACUGUAUAUGCUUGCACAUACUGUAUCAAUAUGGUAUAAAAAUAUAUCAAUUGGAUAUAUAAACACUGCAUAUGCAUGCAUAGAUUCUCCUUCUAUCUUGUUAUAAAAGUGUAUCAAUAGGGUAUAAAAGAGUAUCAAUUGGGUAUAGGAUCCCCUAUUUCUUUUUUAAAAAGUGUAUCAAUGUAGUAUAAAAGUGUAUCAAUUGGGUAUAGAAAUUGCACGUGGCUGACUGGGCCAAUGGCUAAAAGAGGGAAAUAAAUUGGACCGAUCGGCUCCAGUUGUCCAUAUUUUCAAAUUGUGGGCCAUUUUUUUAAAAAUGGUCGGCCCAUGUCCUUCUGUUCAGCUUUGGGCUGCAAAUAUUAUAGAUCUUGAGUCCAUUUUACCCAUGGUAUAUCAACUGUAUAUCACAAAUUUGUUUUGAUGUGUUUCCUAUAUAUACGUUGUAUAUCAGUGUAUAAGGACCUGUAUACUUGCUUCCAAUGUUGUUAUGCACCAAAUAUUAGUGCAUACCAGCCAUCUUUGAUAUGUAAAUCCUAUAUAUUUGUUGUAUAUCAAUGUAUAUCAGCCUUGUAUCAAUCCAUUUUCUUCAUGUAUUAGUCCAUUUUGGACUUUGAUGGGGCUUGAAUCGAUGAAUAAUGAAUGUGAAAAAUGGGAUUCCGAUGGACUCGGUGAGAAAGGUCAUGCAUAAAAGGGAUAGGAACGAAUUAGGAGGAAAUAUUUAUAAACUUAACCACAUACAUACUACAUAACCACCUUUCAAAUGAAAUACCAAUAAUUUAAACAAGAUAAUUACAUUUAUAAUGAAGUUUAAGAAUGGAAGAAAAUUCUGCAUCACAUAGGGCACCAAAGGAAUAGCAUAAAGAACGAGUAUAACAAUGUCCCAAUAUCAACAUGAUUAAAGUUGUAUAAGUAGUCCACCACGGAAAAACUAUAAUUGUUUAAGGAGCAUAACAGCAAUUGAAACUGCUCCAAUAUUGAAAGUAGAACUCUUCAUAAUUUUCUAUUUUUUUUUUUUUUAGAAAAAACUCAAAGACGGUUACGCAUAGAAAUUGAUAAAGAAGUAUAUAAUCUUCAACUCCCUCCAUCCCAUUUUACUCGUCCUAAAUUUUCUAAUUUGAUAUCCCAUUUUACUUAUUAAGACAAUGACAAUUUUUUUUUCAUUAUACCAUCAUUAUUUUUUUAAUAGCUGUGUCAUCUCAAUUUGGAACGGGACGGAGGGUGUAAUUGAUAAGAAAUUCAACUCUAGAUAUAAAACAAACCAACAAUUUAUUUUAAUCUUUUGAUAGGUAAAGCUACUGGAACAAAAUAAACAAAAAUCAACAAGUUGUUUAAUCCAUGUUCGGCCACCUUUUGUAUAAAUAAAUAAAUUAAAUUUAAUCUAUGGAAAAAAUCGAAUAAAAAAAUCACGGAACUAACUAAAUUUCAAACUGCCUAACACCAAAAUAUGAACAAACAAAAUAAGGAAGGGGAUUUACCUUUUUUUCGGGCAGCAGAUGAGAUAAACGAGCUUUAAAUGAACCAAAUUUUAUCAAAAUUUCAAUCCCGAAUCGUUGAAGUUUUACCUUUCUUUUUUUGUCGGAAUUAACUUUACAAGUGCGUUUCUUCUCGAAUUCUUCGAUUACGUGAAAUUAGAGAAUCGCUCCUCCUGAAUUCUCACUUUAUUCCCAAAGAAUUCUCUCUUUUCAACCUCUAUCCCUCAAUGUCUAUUAAUAGGAAAAAUUUGGGAGGAAAAAUUAAGAUUUUGAAUUUGAAAAAAUGAAUUUCAAAUCCGAAUUUUGGAAUCCAAGGUGAGACAAAGACCAUUUAUGGCCUUUUGUACACGAAAAAUGUGGAGAAAUAAAUGUUGCCUCUGUUAUUCAAAAAUGAGAGUUUAUAGUUUGCCAAAAUGGUGAGCAUAGAUUGAAGAUAAUGAAAGAAUUUGAUUUUUUAGCCGCUAUACAUGAGGGUAAAUCAGUAAAUGGAAGGGGUGGUAGGGUUUUUGGGAUUGAUGCCAUUUUUAUUGUUGUUUACUGGUUGUUGACUGUUGUGCCGUGUAGAGAAAAUAAGAUGAAGGGGGAAAAGGAA